AGCCACAGCCAUAUCACCAUGCAGCCCAAGACCGGUUACUCACUGAAGCUAAGCAGGGCUGAGUCUGGUCAGUACCUGGAUGGGAGACCACUAGGGAACACUAAGUGGUGUUAGUG
rnacentral:rRNA from 1 species